GGCAGGAAGGACGCGCUCCUGCCUGACGAGGGGGCUCCAGGAACUGGGAGUUGACAGGUGUUACCUGAGACUCCCCCUCAGGUAACAACGCAGAGGAGGCCCAGGACACGUCCAGAGAGUCAGGGGGACAUCUGCCCUGGAGAACUGAGCCUGUGGAGUGUUCCAGCACCCAGAAAGAGAACGGU